rnacentral:rRNA from 1 species
AUACGGAGGGGGCUAGCGUUGUUCGGAAUUACUGGGCGUAAAGCGCGCGUAGGCGGACCAGUCAGUCAGGGGUGAAAUCCCGGGGCUCAACCCCGGAACUGCCUUUGAUACUGCUGGUCUUGAGUUCGAGAGAGGUGAGUGGAAUUCCGAGUGUAGAGGUGAAAUUCGUAGAUAUUCGGAGGAACACCAGUGGCGAAGGCGGCUCACUGGCUCGAUACUGACGCUGAGGUGCGAAAGCGUGGGGAGCAAACAGGAUUAGAAACCCUUGUAGUCC